rnacentral:rRNA from 1 species
ACUCCUACGGGAGGCAGCAGUGGGGAAUAUUGCACAAUGGGCGAAAGCCUGAUGCAGCGACGCCGCGUGAGGGACGACGGCCUUCGGGUUGUAAACCUCUUUCAGUAGGGAACAAGGCAUCAUUUUUGUGGUGUUGAGGGUACUUGCAGAAGAAGCACCGGCUAACUACGUGCCAGCAGCCGCGGUAAUACGUAGGGUGCAAGCGUUAUCCGGAAUUAUUGGGCGUAAAGAGCUCGUAGGCGGUUUGUCGCGUCUGUCGUGAAAGGUCCGGGGCUCAACUCCGGAUCUGCGGUGGGUACGGGCAGACUAGAGUGAUGUAGGGGAGACUGGAAUUCCUGGUGUACGGUGGAAUGCGGCAGAUAUCAGGAGGAACACCGAUGGCGAAGGC